AGCUCCUUGAAGAAUCAAGAGAGUAGCAAACACUGGAUCUCCAGCUUUUGGAAGAGCAACUCUGCAGUGGGCCACUUUAACUUGUACAGCGCAUCCAUUGCCAGCAAGAGGCAGCUGUGGGAGAAGAGAGCAGAGGAGGCAUCCACUGCCAACAGGCCCCACAAGUAGAGGGUGUGGAAGCAUGUCCCAUAUAGAUUCAGAUGCAAAGGGAAUAUCAGCAAUGGACACAACUGGGAACAUUUUCUUGCUUUGUGUACUUCAGAUGAUCUCUUAGACAUUUCAUAAAGAGCCUUGGAGGUUUUAAAGUCCUUAAUGAACACUUUUAUUCUGAAUUCUCUCGCAGGAAGAGUUUUAGUUUGAAAUGGAACAUGUGCUCAUUUCAUUUUUAUUUCUUCUUCCUAUGGUUACC